GGCGAGGGGCCCCUGCAAUGGGGACCUGUGAACCUGGUCAGGUGCGAGAGCAAGCAGCCAUAAGCAGUCCGCCUCAUGUGCAGUGGGUCCCUCGCCGCG
rnacentral:SRP_RNA from 1 species